rnacentral:lncRNA from 1 species
AGGCGGGUGUCUCCUAAUCCUAUAGACGCAUUUUGGAAGGAAAACAAAAUCGGGAAGGGGUGAAGGACGCUUGCGUGAAGCCCCGGACCGGACAAUAUCUGGCAGGGGAGCCCCGCAGUCCCUCCUCAUGUAGCCCCUACGUGGGCACUGGGUGCCUCAUGUGCUCCGAGGAGGCGGGGGCGUGACCUGAUUGGAUUUUGGGUAGAUUGGGCUGAAGCCGGCGGGCCCAACCGGCUUUAGCCAUGGUCGAAAAGAGAACGAGACAGGGGAUCUCGAUCAUGAUACACCGGUAUUCUUCCUCGGGGUAACGGAGGCGUUAUGAGAGCGGAGACGCCGCGGAUCUCGCACAAUCGCCACCAGCAUCGCGGCAGUGAGUGAGCUAUGAUCACCACCACAUUUCCAUUUCUCCCUUCUUCUCGAAGAGGGCUAUAAAAAGCCCACAGAUCACUCACAGAGGGACUCCAUCGCUCUCUCCUCCUUCAGUGCAAAGGAACUGGACCGGGAGCGACGCCAUUGGAGUAGGAGGUCUCAAGCAGCCAAAGGAAGCGACCAAACUACCGGAAGAGGCUUCUCGGCUCCUCCUCGGAGCUAGGUAAACCCUUAACCUCUCUCUCCCUUCGUAAAUUACGCCCUGUUAAGUUUAGAUCUAGUCAAGCUACGAGAAAAAAAUAAUAAAUAAAUAAAUAAUAAAAAUAAAGAAAGAGAGAUGAAGAGGGGGAGGUCGAGCCGUGGCCGCCGUAGGCGCAGUCCGCGCCCCGGCCUCAGGUCGGCCCUCUCCCGAGCCCCGAUAAUGGGUUGUCCCUUGCUCUAAUCAUAGGAGAAGAAGGGAGGGGAGAAGAGAGGGAAAAGGAGAAGAGAAGAACAAAAGGAAGAAAAGAAGGGAAGAAGAAGGAGGAGGGAAAAGCCACUUAGCGGUGGAUUCUUGACUGUGGUGCCGCCGGCCUUGGGGUCGGCCUUGUUGUCCGAUUCCUGUUUACCUAAAAAUAUGCUAAACAGAUCAUUGUUAGAACCGACAAACAAAGUUUAAAUUAAUUUUACUCUUACCUGUUCUACUUGAAGAAUAGUGGUUGUUAGAGGUCGAUCCAUAGGGAGGCGAUUGGAGUUGCAUAAAAAUUAAAACGUUUACUCGGAUUCAAAAUUGAUUCUUGAAUAACAAAAGAAAAACAUUACUUCGAGGAUGUUGAUAGAUUCUCUAGUCUAUCGGAGAAUGUUUUUUAAUUGAAAUUAACUAGAAGACAUGUACUUAGAUUCGAAGAGCAUUUAUAUAUUUAACUAAUCAAAGAAGAGCUUUGGCAUAAAUUAAAAUGGAUGAAACUAAGAGGAUUGAAGCAAACAUAAAUUUCAUAAAAGAAGAUUUAAUGUAUUGCAUAAAAAAAUUAAAAUUUCAGCAUAAAUAAAAUCUUAAAAGUAAAACUCUCCACCAAAAUAAAAUUCUCUAAAGUUAAAACUUAAAACAUUGUUCUCAAUUAAAACUCAAACUCAAAACGCAUUGCUCUCAAUUAAAAUUCAGACUAAAAACAACACAUUGCUCUUAAUUAAAAUAAAACUAAAAACAACACAUUGCUCUUAAUUAAAAUAAAACUAAACAUAAAACAUUGCUCUUAAUUAAAAUAAAACUAAACAUUAAAAAAAAGAAAAAGAAUAAAAAAAACAAAACAAAGCACUGUGCUCUGUUUGAAAACAGAGC